rnacentral:misc_RNA from 1 species
GGAUGAAGAACGUAGCGAAAUGCGAUAAGUAAUGUGAAUUGCAGAAUUCAGUGAAUCAUCGAAUCUUUGAACGCACAUUGCGCCCGCUAGUAUUCUGGCGGGCAUGCCUGUCCGAGCGUCAUUUCAACCCUCAAGCCCCCGGGCUUGGUGUUGGGGAUCGGCGAGCCUCCGCGCCCGCCGUCCCCUAAAUCUAGUGGCGGUCUCGCUGUAGCUUCCUCUGCGUAGUAGCACACCUCGCACUGGGAAACAGCGCGGCCACGCCGUUAAACCCCCAACUUCUGAACGUUUGACCUCGGAUCAGGUAGGAAUACCCGCUGAACUUAAGCAUAUCAAUAAGCGGAGGA